UUACGGUCAAAUCACGCUGAAAACACCGGUUCUCGUUCGAUCACCGAAGUUAAGCAUCGUAGAGCCAGGUCCGUAGGUCAGUACUUAGAUGGGGGACCGCUUGGGAACACCUGGUACUGUAAG